rnacentral:rRNA from 1 species
GGUAUCCUGACCGUGCAAAGGUAGCAUAAUCAUUUGCCUUUUAAUUAAAGGCUAGUAUGAACGGAAAACCGAAGACUUCCCUGUCUCUUUUAUAAACCUAUAAACUAACCUUCAGGUGAAGAGGCCUGAAUCUUAUUAAAAGACAAGAAGACCCUGUCGAGCUUAACUUUAUUACCCCAGGAUCUUAUUUUUACCUCAUUUACAAGUUUUGUUGGGGCGACAAAGGAGAAAACAAAACCUCCUUGAUUACAACAGACCAUCUGUCUUUCAUCAGACCCAUCAUAUGCUCUCCUGAAUUAGCUACCGCAGGGAUAACAGACUUAUUUUCCUCAAGAGCCCGUAUCUACAGGAAAGUUUGGCACCUCGAUGUUGGCUUAGGGUAU